CUCUCCAAACUAAGGGUCUCUCAGCAGAUGGCCGGGUUUAGAGCUGUACGAAGACACACAGCUAAUGAAAAAUUGUGGAAUUCUCAGAGCCCGUGAAGCCUAGCCCACGGAUGCGAGGUGACCAGCAAUGGCAGCAUCGGGAGGGACCCGCCAGCGGAGACCCAGCCUCAGAACCCACCGGCCCAGCCGGCACCCAAUGCCUGGCAGGUCAUCAAAGGUGUGCUGUUUAGGAUCUUCAUCAUCUGGGCCAUCAGCAGUUGGUUCCGCCGAGGGCCGGCCCCUCAGGACCAGGCGGGCCCUGGAGGAGCCCCACGCGUCGCCAGCCGCAACCUGUUCCCCAAAGACACUUUAAUGAACCUGCAUGUGUACAUCUCAGAGCACGAGCACUUUACAGACUUCAACGCCACAUCGGCACUCUUCUGGGAACAGCACGAUCUUGUGUAUGGCGACUGGACUAGCGGCGAGAACUCAGACGGCUGCUACGAGCACUUUGCUGAGCUCGAUAUCCCACAGAGCGUCCAGCAGAACGGCUCCAUCUACAUCCACGUUUACUUCACCAAGAGUGGCUUCCACCCAGACCCCCGGCAGAAGGCCCUGUACCGCCGGCUUGCCACAGUCCACAUGUCCCGGAUGAUCAACAAAUACAAGCGCAGACGAUUUCAGAAAACCAAGAACCUGCUGACAGGAGAGACAGAAGCGGACCCAGAAAUGAUCAAGAGGGCUGAGGACUAUGGGCCUGUGGAGGUGAUCUCCCAUUGGCACCCCAACAUCACCAUCAACAUCGUGGACGACCACACGCCGUGGGUGAAGGGCAGUGUGCCCCCUCCCCUGGAUCAAUAUGUGAAGUUCGACGCCGUGAGCGGUGACUACUAUCCCAUCAUCUACUUCAAUGACUACUGGAACCUGCAGAAGGACUACUACCCCAUCAACGAGAGCCUGGCCAGCCUGCCGCUCCGCGUCUCCUUCUGCCCGCUCUCGCUUUGGCGCUGGCAGCUCUAUGCUGCCCAGAGCACCAAGUCGCCCUGGAACUUCCUGGGCGAUGAGUUGUACGAGCAGUCAGAUGAGGAGCAGGACUCGGUGAAGGUGAGUGCCGCCGGGGUGGGCGGGACUUCCCGGUGCCUUCCUGGGCGCAAGAGGCCAAGAGGAAGUGCGCCAGGCCUGGGCUGUGGGACCUCCCGCCUGGUGCUCCUCUGCCCACAGUUUCACAACCUCCCAGGUCCCUUCUCCACAGUGAAAGGAAGUGGGCACCCAGCCCUCCAGCCCUAGAUGACUGGGGGUCCUCUCCCCAGGCUGUUCUGUUGGACCCUUUGGGUCCAGACCUGUCCCUUCCUCCUUCUGUCCCAGACCUUGUGUCCCUGGCCCUGGCUCCAACUCCGUGUCUCUGCCAUCUCACUGGGUCCUGAAAUGUCAGCCUGUGUCUGUGGCAUGAGGCUAGGCUUUGCCUCCUGGGCUGUCGUCACUGUUGGGUCUCUGCUCCUGGCUCCCAGUGUCCCUUCACCCACUCCCCGCAGCACUCCCUUGG
rnacentral:sRNA from 1 species